UAGUGUUACAGCUCUUUUAGAAUUUGUCUAGCAGGCUUUCUGGUUGUUAUCGGAAAGCCCCA
ensembl:snRNA U7 U7 small nuclear RNA